UUUAAUCUUUAAUCUAUUAAUGUAAAGUCAUAUACAUACUCUAUUUUUGCAAUACUUUUAAUGUUUAAUCUAUUAACGUAAAGACUUAUAUACAUACUCUAUUUCUUUGAGCACCUAUUCUUUUAUAAUGUGAUCAAAUAUUCUAUUGAUGUUACUUCUGUUAGUUUAUCGAUUUCUACCAGAUCUUGAUAAAAAAUAACAUGCAAGUAAAAUUCAUAUCACCUAUAUAGCCUAUAUAGAUGACACCCACUAAAGCCAUUAACUCUAUUUCUCUUAACAUGCAAGUUAUCCGGAUCAUAUAGGAACCCAUUAUAUCAAAUAUCACAUCAACGUCCACUAGGGCCAUCUAUUUAUGUUUUGCAUCGAUUUUUUUGUGAAUGUUGCCAUGCAAUCAUCUUAAUUUUUCUACUUUCAAAUUUCACGUUAAAAUUUUAUUUAAGAAAUCCCGCAGCAACGCCCGGGGUAUCACCUAGUUAGAUAUGAAGAUAUGGCUAUUUGUAGCAUAUUUUGAAUAAUCAUUUGUCACAAUUGAAAUCAAUGGUUAGAAAUGAAGAAAUGGCUAAACAUAAUUAAGUACCUAUCAGUAUUGCCUUUCUGCCAGUCCUCUUGCUGCCACCUGGAAAAAGCGCGUAAUAUUAAUUAUGAAAAGGCAAUAUUUGUACUACUAUAUUGAUGGUUCCAAAAGGAGGGGAAUAGAUGAACUAUGCAACAGGGGAAGGGAGAUCGAUCCAUCGCUGAUGGUGAAGGGCUGAAGGGCAGGUCAUGGGGUAGUGGAUGCCGUCGGGGCAGUUGCACGAGAAACCCAUGCCAUUGUCAGGGUAUAUGCACUCCCCGCCGCUGGCAAUGCAUUUGGAGCAAUCCCCCGAGACCGCCGUCCACUCCAGGAGAAAUCCUCUCCUCAUGCCCGCGACGUAGUCGUGCCCGUGCCCGUGCCCAUCUGGAGCCGCCGGCGCCGGAAGAGUGGGCACGACGGUGACGAGGCAGCCCGGUGGUGUCGCCCGGUGGAAUCUGCCGCUGCUUCCAAACCGCCCUCCGAACCCGACGAACGACGCGUUGUCAUCGCAAGGCAGGCGCCGGAACCCAGGCAGAGCCUCUGGCACGGGCUCGCUGCAUCGGGAGAGGAACCGGAGCUCGCUGUUGGCCUGGCUGAUGGCGAACACCCCCAGCCCCAUAGCGGCCAGCGAGAUGUUGAAGCACGGCGCCGGGCAGCCGGUGGCGAGGGGCAGGUUCUCGUCGACGACGUGGACGGAGCUGUUCCGGGCGAAGAUGGCCACCACCCGGUACGCCUGGAACACGGAGUGGCUGAGGAAGGCGCCGCUGGCGUUGCACUUGAGCUGGAAGGGCGGCGACCCGCACGGCGGCCGGCCGGGCUCCUCCAGCCAGAACGGGUAGGAGACGUUCAGGCCCCCGCACGCCUUGGGCGAGGGCGAGCAGCCUGCUGGGUGCUCGGGCGGUGGCUCUGGUGCGCCGCGGGACGGACUGGCAGUUGAGAGCCGUAGCAAGAAGGCCAGAGCGUGGAGAAGACCAAGCGAUGGCAGGAGCGCUGCAGCCAUGUCUCCUCUCUUGUGUUGCGGAUGCUGGGAGAAGAGUUGAGAUCAUGGACAUGGAGUGCGGCCACCGGGCUGUGCCAUGGAGGCCUGGAGCCCACCGAAGUUUUCAAGUGUUGCUGAUUGCCCGUGCACGAUGGUCCGCGGAUGUGACCAAGUCUCAGCUUAGUCGUCGUCUCCACUCUCCACCACUCAUCAGUCAUCACUGGGUCAGUACUCAGUAGUGGUCGGUCCAAUUCGAUCCUUUUCAGGCGUGAAUGAAUUCAAUGCAGCGAGUCGAUCCUUCAGAAACAAAAA